rnacentral:miRNA from 1 species
UGCCUUCGUGUUUGUG